AUCUACGGCCAUACCACCCUGAAUGUGUCAAUCUUGUCUGAUCUGGGAAGCUAAGCAGGGUCGGGCCCUGGUUAGUACUUGGAUGGGAGACCACCUGAGAAUACCCGGUGUUGUCAGCU
ensembl:rRNA 5S_rRNA 5S ribosomal RNA